rnacentral:rRNA from 1 species
CAGUAGCCACGGGAAUACGUAGGUGGCAAGCGUUGUCCGGAAUUAUUGGGCGUAAAGGGCUCGCAGGCGGUUUCUUAAGUCUGAUGUGAAAGCCCCCGGCUCAACCGGGGAGGGUCAUUGGAAACUGGGAAACUUGAGUGCAGAAGAGGAGAGUGGAAUUCCACGUGUAGCGGUGAAAUGCGUAGAGAUGUGGAGGAACACCAGUGGCGAAGGCGACUCUCUGGUCUGUAACUGACGCUGAGGAGCUAAAGCGUGGGGAGCGAACAGGAUUAGAUACCCCUGUAGUCCCUGUCUCUUAUAC